rnacentral:rRNA from 1 species
AGGACAAACGCUGGCGGGGUGCAUGAGACAUGCAAGUCGAACGAGGUGCCAUCGGGCUUGCUCGAUGGUUACCUAGUGGCGGACGGCUGAGUAACGCGUAGGUGACCUACCCGGAAGUGGGGAAUAACUGCCCGAAAGGGUGGCUAAUACCGCAUGUGGUCGGCGAUUCGAUUCGCCGUCUAAAGGAGAAAUCCGCUUCCGGCGGGGCCUGCGUCCGAUUAGCUAGUUGGUGGGGUAACGGCUCACCAAGGCGACGAUCGGUAGCUGGUCUGAGAGGAUGAUCAGCCAGACUGGGACUGAGAACGGCCCAGACUCCUACGGGAGGCAGCAGUCGGGAAUUUUUGCCCAAUGGACGAAAGUCUGAGGCAGCAACUCCGCGUGAGGGAUGAAGGCUCUCGGGUCGUAAACCUCUUUUUCUCAGGGAAGAUCCAAGACGGUACCUGAGGAAUAAGCGACGGCUAACUACGUGCCAGCAGCCGC